CUCCCAGUAGACGACUGGGUUGAUAGGCCAGAUAUGGAAGCCUGGUAACGGGUGGAGUUGACUGGUACUAAUAGGCCGAGGGCUUGUCCUC
rnacentral:rRNA from 1 species